UACGUAGGGUGCGAGCGUUGUCCGGAAUUAUUGGGCGUAAAGGGCUCGUAGGCGGUCUGUCGCGUCGGGAGUGAAAACUCAGGGCUUAACCCUGAGCCUGCUUCCGAUACGGGCAGACUAGAGGUAUGCAGGGGAGAACGGAAUCCCUGGUGUAGCGGUGAAAUGCGCAGAUAUCAGGAGGAACACCGGUGGCGAAGGCGGUUCUCUGGGCAUUACCUGACGCUGAGGAGCGAAAGUGUGGGGAGCGAACAGG
rnacentral:rRNA from 1 species